CGGGGUCCUCCGGGUAGGGGCAGUUGGGCCUGGCAGCACCGGUGAGCUGGUAGCCUCCCGGAGCAGAGGGCCUUGGGGUCUGCUGACCGGCCACUCCGCUAUCCUGAGGCCUCCUUCUGGCCCGUGCCAUGGCCACGUGCAGUUUUACUUCAAAUGCACAUCUGCAAAAGGCGAGUCACUGUCCUGCCCCAGAAUUCCUCUCCGCACCUUUGCCAGCCACCCCAGCUGUCACAC
rnacentral:lncRNA from 1 species